CAUAUUCACAGACAUUUUUAUUUAUUUUUGAAUGAAAUUAAUUCACAUCAGUAAUUUGUCCUGUUGAAAAUCUUUUUUUUCUUUUUUACUUAUUACGACAGCCACAGAGCAGCAGCAGCAAUAAUAACUCAGCAAGAAGCGAGAGAGAGAGAGAGAGAGAGAGAGAGAGAGAGAGAGAGAGAGAGAGAGAGAGAGAGAGAGAGAGAGAGAGAGAGAGAGAGAGAGAGAGAGAGAGAGAGAGAGAGAGAGAGAGAGAGACUGGCAGUCUUUUUCAGCCGUCAUAAAUCAAAACAUGAUGCAUAUUUGACAGGGAAUCGUAGGAAAGAGGCUAUGGAUUGGGGGGGUCGUCUUUACUUCUUCAGUCCGUCAUAUAUGUUCUCCUGCACCGUCCCACGCUCCCUCCCAUGACCAUUAAGACUAAAGCACAGUCAGCGACUACCGUUCUUUCAUAAUUCUCAAAACAAUCCCUGGAGUGAACAAAUCGUCACUAAUUACAAAGAGAUAUAUAAAAGUGUGUGUGAGAUGAGAGGUGGAGGACAAUCUGAGAAGGGAAGGGAAGGAAAGGCUGGAGGGAAGAGUGGUCCUGACAUGACAUGGAACAGAAGCAAAGCGUUGUGAGCUCCACAGGAUAUGACAAAACAAAAGUUUGCGUUAUGUAUCCAUAUGUAAGUAGAACAAUAGUUUGUCCCCUGUACAGUAAUAAAAUCCUUCCCACCCAAACUCACUGUUCAAGGACCCUGGCUUUGCUCUAUAGGUCAGAUCAAGGUCCCCCCCAUUCACCUAGCCUGCGCUAGCAGUAGCUAUUCCUAGGAGGCAAUGUGGGAAUCCGAUUGGGUACAGCAGCAAAACGAGGCCGGGCGUUCUCAACCAAUGGGCUCUCUUCAAACGUGGUUGGAAAGGAUAUCAAACCCUGUCCCAUCACAACGCUGAGCUCAACAAACAGGACUUCAUGGGCCAGCUACAGUGUCUUUUUCUCAGGGUGUGUGGGGCCCUGCGUGCAUUGAGUCCCAGCCCCGGUUUAACGUGUGCCCUUCAGAGACGAGUACCCCGGCCGCGUGUCAGCAGGUGGAGGUCUGAGUGGCGUGCAGUGGUUGUGAUGAGUUUACACGGAUCAGGAAGGGGCCGGGCCGUUUCCGUGCUUCAAACCGUUUGUAAAACAAUACAAAAAAAUAAAGAGGGUGCACAAAAACAAAACAGUACAUGCCUCAAAAAUAAACAUGAAUAAACCAUAAACUAAACAACGAUACGGGAGACAAAACACAUGAUUAAAGUGAUGAAAUCAAAACAAGUUGAAAACAAAAACAUAUCUUGUUCAAAUAUGUUACACGUCGCCAACAUUAUAGAUGACACGAGAGUACAGUGCACUUUGUGUGUGAAAAUGAACAAAAAAACUACGAACAGAGUAAUGGACACACACUUUCAAAUCCUAAGAUAAAAGGCAACGGUAGCCUGCCUAAGAUGGUAGGCGGGCGAAAGAACAAAGAAAAAAGAGGAUAUGAACUAGGAGGAGUAUGGAGGGGGAGGCUGCCUACUGUGUCUGGGCAGAGAGAGAGAGAGAGAAAGAGAGAGCAAAGAAGGCGAGAAUUAUAUACAAUUGUUUGUACAUUAUACAGGAUACGAAAAGAGCACAAGGUCCUAGAGCCAGGUCGAAGACGGCCGUCACAAUAAAGUGAAUAUAAAACAUAGCAUGAUGUCACAACCCAUGUGGACGGCAUCUCAACUCUUCUGGCUUCUCUUAACCAUUCUGUUUCAGCAAACAGAUUCCGAUAAAUAAGAAAAAAUAAUAAUAAUAAUAAUAAUAAUUAAAAUUAAACAAAAACAUUGGAAAAAGGAACCAAUUAUUUUUUGGUUUUAUGUGGUGCCUGUGUUAGCGUGAGCAUUUUCACUAACCUUACCCUGCAGUUCCCAAAUAGGGAACCACAAAACCUUACAUGGCCAGUUUGCUCAUUUUGUCUUUAAGGAACAAAUUCUAACAUGGCAAGUCCUCAAACGUAACCUAACGGAGGUUAGCAUCCGGGUUUGUAUUUAUGCACAGCUUUUUAAAUUAGUAAACUUACACUUUGAAGGGUACAAAUUGACUUGUUUUGCAGGGACUGAUGCUGCCACAACAAAAUUGUACCGGGGCGAAAAUUGUACCGCCUAGCGCCUACGUAAUCUGCGUUCGAAACAUUACGUCAUCUCCCAACGCGAUUGUCCGUUGCAAGGCAGGUUUCAAAAAACAUUGGCGCUCAUGUUGCCAAAGACAAAAUAACAUAAUACAGAUAACACUUGUUUUUACUUUAUAUUUGUAUUGUAUUGAAUUUAGCUAGUAAACUGAGUGUUUAAAGUGUAUCAUAGUCUAGCUAGCUUGUGUUAAUAAUACACUCAGUUUACUAGCUAAAUGCGAUUAAACAAUUAAAUACAAUACAAAUAUAAAGUUAGCAACGCUAAUAAAUGUCAUUUGUAAAAUAAGUGUUAUCCAUUAAAUGUUAUUUCGUCUUGUGUCGCUCAAUGAAUGAGCGUGAAUAUUCGCGAAUGUUCAUGAACCUUCCUACGUCAUCGUUCGACGCGAUGACGUAGGCGGUACAAUUUUCACCCCCGGUACAAUUUUGGUGUGACAAUGUCACAAAAGUUGAACAGGGUUCCCCAACCAAUCGGCAGCAUUGUCAAUGCUAUAGCUAUUGAAUUAUGACUCGACUUUAGGUGAUCUCCAAUAACUUCUGAAAGAUUCAGAAAACAUCUCCUAAAUAUUUCUUUUUUAUACUGAGAGUAAAAAAAAAAAAAAACAGCCUCCCCCCCCCCCAAAGAAAAAAAGUGAAACCAGCAAGCUAAACUAAACAGCCCCAGCUUCUUGUGGUCACCGGAAAUAUCUAUAAAUACAACAAUUGUACAGAUUCCCACUAGAAACACACAGAGAACGUCUUCUUCUCCGGCCUUCUCACAAAGGAAAGUGCAUCCCUCCGUCUCCAAAGGCCCCAUGUCCGUACCGGGACCAGCGCGUGGGUUAGUGAAAUGUUCCAAAGUUCCUACUGUCAAACACAGUCCCCCCAGAUCGGCGCUGAUCCACAGACUCAAGAGAGACCGGAGACGAAGGCUUACAACUCGUGUUAGUCCUCGAAAGAGAAAGAGACUCCAAUGCAGUUUUGUUUUUUUGUUUCUUGGCAAAUGUCUUUCCUAAGGCCAAAUCCUUUACACAACAGACCCCCCCCCCCCCCAUUUUAUAAAGAAGCCCAAAAAUUGGCAGCAAACAUAAGAAUGUACAAAGGUUGAGCUGGGGAAGAGGCCGCUGAACAAUAAUCAAUACCGUUGACUGUACAGAACGGGUUUUUAUGUUGGCCAUCCUCCCCGUAAACUACCCCCCAGAAGGACAACAGGGCCUGGUCUGAGUUACUGGAACUGUUAGGGGACGAUUGACAACAUUGGAAAAGGACAUUCUAGAAAGGGAACUCAUAAAUAGAGGGUGGUCCCAGACCACCCGGCCACUGCUACAUAACCAUUAGCACGGGAGUUCAUUAUUCAUAUUUACACUGAGAACGGGUUACUAAAGUUAAAAGGAACGAAACAAUCUAUUCAGUCGUGGUUGUCGUCUUGUUUGUCUCUUUUUUUUCCCAACCAAAAGCCAAGCGACCUAAAAUCCUGCUUCUUCGUCUGAUAAAGCUGGGUCCAGAGUAUCAUAUAGAUAUUUGAAACACACCAUAUAUGAAACCACAGAUGCUUGGAAAAAUAGGCUCAUUCGUGUUGAUACAAAUUGUCUGAGUUUUGUUUUCAGUUUUUGUUUUCUGGAAGAGGAAUAGGCGUCCGUCCUGUAGCUGUUCCGUUCCGUUCGUCAAGUUCUCAACAACUGGGAGGGGGGGGGGGGGAGGCUUAUUCAGAAUCGCUUACAAGAAACCUCAAUGGGCCAGAGGUUAGAGAGAGAGCGAGAGAGAGAGAGAGAGAGAGAGAGAGCGAGAGAGAGCUACAUCUGGAACAGAUAGGAGACCAUAUCAAAAAAGAUACUGGAAUGUGAAUUGCUUAAUCUGGCUGUCAUCCCACAAGGGUGUGGAGGACCUUUAAACGGAACAAUAAUCAUAGAAUAAUAGCAACCAGGUGGGGAUAUGAACGAGGACACAUGGCCUUUUCAGCGUUUCCUCAUUUUCCUCAGAGGAGUGAGUGACUGUGAUGUGGCGUGUUGGCA
ensembl:lncRNA